AGUGAACGCUGGCGGUAGGCCUAACACAUGCAAGUCGAACGGCAGCACAGUAAGAGCUUGCUCUUACGGGUGGCGAGUGGCGGACGGGUGAGGAAUACAUCGGACUCUACUUUUUCGUGGGGGAUAACGUAGGGAAACUUACGCUAAUACCGCAUACGACCUACGGGUGAAAGCAGGGGAUCUUCGGACCUUGCGCGAUUGAAUUAGCCGAUGUCGGAUUAGCUAGUUGGCGGGGUAAAGGCCCACCAAGGCGACGAUCCGUAGCUGGUCUGAGAGGAGGAUCAGCCACACUGGAACUGAGACACGGUCCAGACUCCUACGGGAGGCAGCAGUGGGGAAUGUUGGACAAUGGGCGCAAGCCUGAUCCAGCCAUACCGCGUGGGUGAAGAAGGCCUUCGGGUUGUAAAGACCUUUUGUUGGGAAAGAAAAGCAGCAGGUUAAUACCCCGCUGUUCUGACGGUACCCAAAGAAUAAGCACCGGCUAACUUCGUG
rnacentral:rRNA from 1 species